GACGAACGCGGCGGCGUGCUUAACACAUGCAAGUCGAACGAAGAGCGAUGGAAGCUUGCUUCUAUCAAUCUUAGUGGCGAACGGGUGAGUAACGCGUAAUCAACCUGCCCUUCAGAGGGGGACAACAGUUGGAAACGACUGCUAAUACCGCAUACGAUCUAAUCUCGGCAUCGAGGAUAGAUGAAAGGUGGCCUCUACAUGUAAGCUAUCACUGAAGGAGGGGAUUGCGUCUGAUUAGCUAGUUGGAGGGGUAACGGCCCACCAAGGCGAUGAUCAGUAGCCGGUCUGAGAGGAUGAACGGCCACAUUGGGACUGAGACACGGCCCAGACUCCUACGGGAGGCAGCAGUGGGGAAUCUUCCGCAAUGGACGAAAGUCUGACGGAGCAACGCCGCGUGAGUGAUGACGGCCUUCGGGUUGUAAAGCUCUGUUAAUCGGGACGAAAGGCCUUCUUGCGAAUAGUGAGAAGGA
rnacentral:rRNA from 1 species